rnacentral:misc_RNA from 1 species
GAUGAAGAACGCAGCGAAAUGCGAUAACUAAUGUGAAUUGCAGAAUUCAGUGAAUCAUCGAGUCUUUGAACGCACAUUGCGCCCCCUGGUAUUCCGGGGGGCAUGCCUGUCCGAGCGUCAUUGCUGCCCUCAAGCCCGGCUUGUGUGUUGGGUCGCCGUCCCCCUCUCCGGGGGGACGGGCCCGAAAGGCAGCGGCGGCACCGCGUCCGAUCCUCGAGCGUAUGGGGCUUUGUCACAUGCUCUGUAGGAUUGGCCGGCGCCUGCCGACGUUUUCCAACCAUUCUUUCCAGGUUGACCUCGGAUCAGGUAGGGAUACCCGCUGAACUUAAGCAUAUCAAUAAGCGGAGGA